CUGAGCCCGAGUCUACCUCUUCUCUAAGUCGCCAGCUCGGCACUUGUACCCGGGACCUGUGCUCCUCCCACUUCCAGGAUACCUGUGCAGGACAUGACAUGCAGGUUUGUCAUGUAGGUAAACAUGUGCCAUGGUGGUUUGCUGCACCUGUCGACCCAUCACCUAGGAAAAAAUUGGACACGGAGAUAAGGACAGAGGAAAGAUGAUGUGAAGACAGGGGCAGAAGUCAGCCAUCUACAAGUCAAAGGGAGACAUGUGGAACAGAUUCACCCUCACAGCCCUCAGAUGGAAGCAACACCACUAACACUUUGCUCUUGGACUUCUAGCUUCCAGAACUGAGAGACAAUAUCUUUCUGUUGCUUAAGUCAUUCUGUCUGUGAUACUGUGUUUAUGGCAGCCCUGGCAAACUAAUACAGUCCCACAAAGAUUUGGUUGUUGCUUUGCAAGAGAAUGUAUAAUUCCUGGUUAUUUCUACAAAUAAGGGCAUUGACUUUAUAAAGCUACAAGUAUACCCCAGUAUUCUGUUUCUGGUUUUUGUUUACUUUCAUAUAUGCUAUCUUUUCAUUCCCAGGUGAAAUCAUAGUGCAUUUUAAAUGAUAUUUUAAAGAGCAAUUAUACUCGUCAUAUGUACUUCAAAUAAUACUGAUUCCUCAAUUGAAGUAAUGGUAACAUGAGUGUAUUAGUUAAUUUUUUCUGAAUAACUAGUUACCUCCAAAGUUCAUGCCUUCAAGCAACACAUAUUCAUUAUUUCACAGCUUCUUUGGGUCAGGAGUCUUGGCAUAGCUUAGCUGAGUCCUCUGGCUCCUGGCGUCCCAGGCUGUAAUCAAGGUGGUGGCCAGGACUGUAGUCAUGUCAGGGCUCGCCAGGGAAGGAUCUGCCUCCAAGCUAACCAGUGUGGCUUUUGGCAGAAUAUAUUUCUAUGCAGGUUGUUGGACUGAGUUUCUUGCUGGCUGUUCCAGAGGUUCCCUUAGCAUCUUGUCGUGUGGCCUCUUCAUAGGUCAAUUCAUAUUGGCUUCAUCAAAGUGAGCAGGUAAGAUAGCAAAAGAGAAUGCCCAAGAUAGAAGCCAUAGUCUUUUUGUAAUCUAAUCUUAGAAGUGACAGCCUGUUAUAUUUGCUAUAUUCUCUUUGUUAGAAACAAGUUUCUAGGGCUGGGCAUGGUGGCUCACAUCUGUAAUCCCAGCAUUUUGGGAGGCCGAGACAGGCAGAUCACCUGAGGUCAGGAGUUCGAGACCAGCCUGGCCAACAUGGCGAAAUCCUGUCUCUACUAAAAAUACAAAGCCGAGUGUGGUGGCGCAGGCCUGUAAUCCCAGCUACUUGGGAGGCUAAGGCAGGAGAAGCACUUGAACCUGGGUGGUGGAGGUUGCAGUGAGCCAAGAUUGUGCCACUGCACUCCAGCCUGGGUGACAGAGUGAGACUCCAUCUCAAAAAACAAACAAACAAAAAACCAAAUUACUAGGUUUGUCUCAUUCUCAAGGGAAGAGUUUACUCAAGAGAAUAAAUACCAGGAGGUUGGGAUCACUGGAGGCCAGUUUAGAGUCUGCCUACCAAUAGGAGCAAGGCCAUCAAUGUCAGUCAGUGACAUCAACAUCAUGUAGACUGCUUGGCCAACAGUAAUGCUAAAAUGCCAUCAAUCUUGAGAUCAUCUUCAUCUCAUAAAUAUUAACAUGUAAAAAAAGUCAUUUUAAAGUAAAGAAAAUAUGUUAUUUUUUAACAUUUGAAACAGCCCCUGAAGUCAUGUUUUAGAACAUUUUCUCAUCAUUUUUUGUGUGACUUUUAUAAUAUCUUUUAUAUUAUAUGUUAUAAUAGGGAAUAAAGAAAGUAAAAUAACUCCAAAUCAAAUUUUGAGCACUUACCAAUUAUUAAAUCAUUUAAACAGUCAGGAAAUGGAUACUACUGUGUUCUAGAAAUGGGUACCAACUCUCAAAAUGUUUCACAUACUCAUGGAAAUAACAUGGCUUUAAUGGAAGGGCUUAGGGAGUUCUGCUUCAAGCUGGCUGAUCAGAAAAAGGAGAAGCCUCAGAAAGGAAGUGGGAUCUGUACAUGCACCCAGGAAGCACAGCUUUAGUGUCAAUGGAGAAGUUUCGAAUAGCAAAAUUCUCCACUGAACUUGCUGAAAGCACGAGAGGAGAAAGAAGCAUUUGCAGGCCCAGAUGAUACCUAAGAGAGGACUGUGCAUUGCUUUUCAACCUCCACAUGUCAGUACUCAAGGGAUAAGCUGAAUUUUAAAAAUUUACUUUUGUAUUUGUUUCAUUGUAUAUUACUACCUGUUCACUAUAGCUAAUUGGGAAACUUACAAAAAUUAGAAAUAAUAAGAUUCCUCUUUCCCCAAAGUCACCACUAUCCUGAAUUUUAAAACUAGAGCUUACUUUUGCAAUCUUGACACUUUAUUUCACUACCGUCAUAUAGUAUCCUUCUGUGUCUCAGUCCUUUUUCUUUUUUUGACAUUGUUAUGAAGUUCAUCCAUGUUGUUGCAUGGGCUAAGGCUCAUUUUUAUUGCUGAAUAAUGUCAUAUUGUAUGAAUGUACUAAAUAUUCUUAGUCAUCCUUCUGUUGAGGGUAUUUGUGCUGUUUCCAGUUAGGACUUUCACAAAUCAUGGUUUCAUGAACAUUCUUUGUGAUGGCUAAUAUCAGGUGUCAACUUGAUUAGAUUGAGGGAUGCCUAGAUGGCUGGUCAUUGUUUCUGGGUGUGUCUGUGAGGGUGUUGCCAGAGGAGAUUGAUAUUUGAGUCAGUGGACUGGGAGAGGAAGAUCUCAUGCUCCUCAAUGUGAGUGGGAACCAUCCAAUCCAUGGCCAGCAGUCCUCUCUCAGACAAAAACAAAGCAGGUGGAAGAAGGUGGGAUAAGUUGGCUUGCUGAGUCUUCUGGCUUUCAUCUUUCUCCUGUGCUGGAUCGUUUUUGUCCUUGGACAUCAGACUCCAUGUUCUUCCGCCGUUGGACUCUUGGACUUACAGCAGUAGUUUUGCUGGGGGCUUUUGGGCCUUUGGCCACAGACUGAAAACUGCACUGUCAGCUUCUUUGGUUUUGAGGCUUUUGGACUCAGACUGAGGCACUAUUGGCUUCUUUCUUCCCCAGUUUGCAGAAGUCAUAUUGUGGACUUUGCCUUGUGAUCGUGUGAGCCAAUUCUUCCUAAUAAACUCUCUUUCAUAUAUACAUAUAUCCUAUUAGUUCUGUUCCUCCAGAGAACCCUGACUAAUAUACUCAUAGAUAUGCUUUUUGGUACACGAUUUCAAGCAUAUAUUUGGUGUAAACCUAAGAGUGAGAUUGUCACAUCACAGGACUUUCAAAUGCUCAACUUGAAUGGUUAAUGUUGAACUGCUUUCCAAAGAAGUGAGGCCAACUCAUACCCUACCAGUCAUGUUUCUCUGUUUUUUUUUCAAAGAUUUUGGUAGUAUCAGUCUUUGCAAUAUUAGCCAUUUUGUUGAGUAGGUAGUAGUGUGUCAUUUUGGUUUUCACUGGAUUUUGUGAUGACAAAUGAAGUUGAACACUUUUACUUAGCUAUACUUUCAGUUUAGUUUACUUGUAAUUAGUUACAGUGUUUAAUGGCUGUUUGGGUCUCUUCUUUCAUGAAGUGCCUAUUCUUGUCUUUUGCCUAUUGUUUCCUAUUGGCUUGUUUGCAUUUUUGUUAGUGAUUUCUAAAAAGUCUCUAUAUAUUUGGGAUAAGUGGCUGUGACUCAGUUUUAUAACGUAUAAAAUAGAAAUAAUAAUGCUCCCCACAUAUGACAUUGUUAUGAGGAGUGUAUUAGUUAAUACACAGAAAAGCUUCAAGCCAAAUGUGGCACAGAGUAAGUGCUCAGUAUUAUUGUGCUUAGCCGAAAGAACACUGCUAAGAACUGUGGACACAGAAAUCCAAAGAGGCCUUCUAACUUCCAUUCAACACAUUUUGCCUUGCACAACAACUUCUCAGAAGUUCUGAAACUCACUAUACUUGCCCCUAAUUGUGCCCCAGUACUAGCUUUAGUGAGAAGUACUGUGAUAAUUUUGUUACAAUCCCAACACUAUUUUUUAAAAUUGUAUUUUUCCUUGUAGAAGAAGGCAGUUUUCAAGCUGCAAAUUGAUAGGGAAGCACUUAUUCUCACAGGCACUGCAUGGUACAAUUGGCAUUUAGCAUGUUCAUUGCAAAAGUUUUAAAAGAAUAGCACUGCAGCAGGAGAAAGAGGAAGACAACGACAAUAACAACAACAACAAAGCAAAGUAAAAACUACUCCCUGAAUGCAGAAAUAAAAUGUAUUAAAAAUUAAAGGGUGCACAAUGGGAGCAAUUAAGUGUUUUAGGCCAAGUGCCCAUUCUUGCCUCAUCCAAAUUCCCUUGGUUCACUGGCCACAUUUAAGAAAAAAGGGACAAUUUUUAUCUUCUGCCCUAGUGAAAAUUGUUUUGCUCCCAGUAGCCAGACAAUAAAAAUUUCCUAUAAACAAAUAAACACACUUUAAUCACCGUGGUUAUUCUCCUUCUAUCAGUGGAAUUUUCACAGAUAAAGUUUGUUGAGGAGGAUAGAAAAACCACAAUUUAGGCCUUUGAAACCAAAAAUGACAGAAAAAUCUUUCAUUUAUUAUUCCUCGUGGACAAUAGCUCUUAAUAUCUUCCUUCUAGGUUUCUUAAUUAAAUUCAGCUUCUUAUAUUUUUCUCUUGAUUCACCCACUUUCAUUCCCAGAUUAACCUAGAUCUUCAUAACUAUAAUUUCUCAACUGUAAAAUUUCAUUUACCUCAUUUAAAUUUCUGUAGAUUUCUCUCCCCAAGUGGAAAGUUUGAUUAUUCACUCUUUCACCUUUCUCCCCAGGCAAUAAAACUAUGCUGCUUAGACUAGUGCUAACUGAUUUAUAAACAGUCAAAUAAAUUGCAUUAUUCUGUAUAAUUCAUAUAUGUGUGAAUAUAGAGUGACUUUAGAAAGUGACAGUGAUAGUCCUAGCCUGUGAAGAAUGGCCACCAUCUUCAAAGAUCCUUCUGAAGCGUUAUCUUUUCCACACAAUCUCUGAUUUCUUCUUGGGGAAAGGACUAGUUUUCUCUUUCAAAUCCCCCAGCAUGUCUCCAAGGGCAUUAUAGUUGAUUAGUUCAUUUUUUCCUGAUCAUCUGCUCCCUGCAUCUCCAUAGAGGAUGAGACAUACCUGCCUCUUGCUAUAUGACUUUCAGUGGCCCCCUGUGCUUUUCUGUCACUGGUGCCAGGCUUGGCCAAGUGACAUUCUUCAGUCAACGGAAGGGGAGCAGAUUAGUUCCUUCUGAGAGGAAGUUUUCAAAGGCAUUAUAAGUUUUUACCAGCUUCAUUGCUCUUUUCCUGUGCCAAGUUCCUUCGGCUUGGUCCCAAGAAUGAGAAGGCACAUGGAACCAUGGGACCUGAGCUGUGGCCUCCUACAUGUGACAUGAGCAAGAAAGAAAUAUCUGAGGUUUGGGGGUCAUUGGUUACUUCAGCACUUAGCACUUUAUUGAAAUUGUUUGUUUGUUUGUCUUAUUCAAGGUGCAUUCAGGAAAUGCAUCUUCUUCGUUGGAUGUCUGCAUAGUCUGGAGCUUGGCAGUUGGUGGGAGCUAAUAAAUGUUUGUGGAAUAAGUGAAUGAUUCAAUGAAGAUCUCCAAUGAGAAGCAUCUAUUAUCUGCCAUGGCAAUUGUGCUGACUGGAGAAUGUUUCUUACCCUGAGCAGAAAUUGAAUCCUCCUGUACUUCCACUAUGGGUUUUAGUUAUAUCCCUUAGGCUCCUAUAAAACCGUCUAAUUCCUCAUCCAUAUGACAGCCCUCUAAUGCCUGAAAGCAGUGCUACUAUUCAUCUUAGGAUUUUAUCUUUGCAGAAUAGGUAUUCCCAGUCCUUAUCCAUUUUGGUAUCUCCCAUGGUUUUAAUGUCCUUGGUUUCCUGGGGGUCCUCUUUGCAGGUGCUCUUGAUGCAUGUCUCUCUUAGCACAUGGGAUCUGCAAUUAGCAUCAUUAUCCAUGUGUGGUCAGAGUAGCACAGGGUGAGGAAAGAGUGUCUCCUCCCUCUGUCUAGACAAAUUAUACUGAGUCUAACACAGCCUCCAGUUGCCUUCACUGGUCUUGGCAGCCCCAUCAUGCUGCUGACCCAUGUGGAGUCAACCAAAUCCCUUAAGUCUUUUCCAGGAGCCUUUAUUGUCAAGCUCUGCCUCAACUUGUGCAGGUGGUUUGGGGAAUCCAAAUGUAGAUCUUUAUACUUUUCCCUGUUUGCCUACUCCCCUCAUUUCAUCUAGUUACUGAUUUCUGUCUACAGUAUUUUGGGAAAUGAAGGCUUUGGUUUCUGGGAAAGGAAAUGCAGCAGGUAGUCCACACAAAGGAGAAACAACUGUGUCUUGUUAAUCCUGGUAUGGCUAGAGAGCUCCAUUUUCAGGUUCUGCAAUGUAUACUUCACUAUGUGAGGUAGCUCAUUUCUAGUACUGUACUGUCUUUGCUUGGUUUCUCAGGGGGAAUAGAAGAGUAGCAUCAAUAGCACACACCAACAAGAAGCUCUAUGUGUGACAUAUAGACUGACUGUAAGGUGUUCCCCAUAACCCCUGCUUCCCGGUAAUCAUGCUCUUUGAUUAUCCCCUUGGCUUGAGUAUAGACAUGUCCUGUAACUUGCUUCUAUCCAAUGGAAUAUGGCAAAGCCAAUGGGAUAUAUGUGAUUGCAUGUACAUAAUUAUAUUUGGUGUGAUUGUAACAUUGCUUCCUUGCUGGCUGUGAGGAGCAAGGUUCUAGGCUGUGAUCUGUUCCCUGGGAAGAGGCCACAUAGUCAGAAACUGAGGGCAACUUCUAGCUGACAGCUAGCAAGAAGCUAAGGCCCUCAACCUGACAGCUUGCCAGAAACAGGAUGCUAUCAACAACCAAAUGGGCCUGGAAAAUGAUGCUUUCCCAGUCCACCCUUGAAGUGAGGUUGCAGCACUGGCUGAUGCCUUGAUUGCAGCUUCCAGAUGAGACUCUGAGGCAGAUGAUUCAACAAAGCCAGGCCCGACUCCUGAUCCAUGGAAACUGUGAUAUA
rnacentral:lncRNA from 10 species